GGGUCCUUAGCUUAAUAGGUAGAGCAUCUAAUUGUCAAUUAGGAUUGUCCCAGUUCGACUCUGGAAGGACUCG
rfam:Lentinula edodes NBRC 111202 DNA, contig: scaffold1914.